rnacentral:lncRNA from 1 species
GAAAAUUCAUCAGCAGUGAGCGGUACGAUCAAACAUUCGACAGCCUUAAUGCCAUAUGUGUGUAAAUAGAAAAAGAUUUGUCCGCAUCAAUAAAAAAAAUUCACACUGCGAGGAAGGAUCAUUUUCUCUCAGAACUUCAAUGAAAUCUUUUAUGAAAUGGGUAACUCUUUUCCAAGGAUUAUCAUCAUGGGAAGUACGUUAUAAUUGUCGUUCCUGUUCAAGUCGUUUUGCAAGUUCAUCUAGAAAGACGCCACCACGAAGUAGAUAAAGACUUUCCGGUAUAUGUUGGUUGGUU